GUUGCCUGUACAAGAAUGACAGGGCACAGUGACAUGAUCGACAACUCGAGUGUUCUACCUACAGAUUGCAAGAAUCUUCUCUCAAGUAGUGAUUCCUCCUGGUUCAUGCUAAUGCACUUACAAUUAGAUCAGGAAAUACCACAUUAAUGUCCUAGGAGAGACUCUCUUCUUUCCGCUUGCAGGCGCAUGCACCAAAUCGUCAGCGUUCACAGACACGACUAGCAGCUCUCCUGGGAGUCUUCAGUGCUGGAUUGAAGUAAAUGAUACAUCUGCAAUUCAACAUAUGGAAACUACAAGCAACAAUUUAUCAUGGAAUAGAUAGCUCCAUGUGCCUUCAAAAAUAGUAUGGUUUGCAUGAUAAGCUGCUAUUGAACAAAAUAAUUUCUGCUUGAUCAAAAUCUGGUCAUCAUCUAGUAAGUAAAGAUGGUUUCUGAUGAAUAUCAGUUUAUGACACAUUUAUUCAAUUGCAAAGAAAGAAAAUCUUAGCCUUGUUUUCUAUUGACAAACUUAUCCUUU